AUGCCUCUCUCCAGUCUUCUCUGGGUGUUCCUGGCCUUCACCUUCUCUGGAUCUAGUGCGGCCCAGAAAGUUACUCAGUAUCAGCCAGACAUAACCAGUCAAGUGUGGAACGUAGUCAUCUUGAACUGUCAGUAUGAAACAAGUUGGAACGUGUACACCUACUGGAUAUUUUGGUACAAGCAGCUUCCCAGUGGAGAGAUGACUUACCUCAUUCAUCAGUAUUCAGAAGAUGGGAAUGAAAGGGACGGCCACUACUCUGUAAACUUUCAGGAAGCACAUAAGUUCAUCAGCCUCACCAUUUCAUCCUUAAAGCUGGAGCAUUCUGGAAAAUACUUCUGUGCUCUCUGGGAAUGCACAGUGCAUUGA